GAUAACUUUUUGUCCUAAGUGUCCACAUUUUAUAGUUUAGAUAUUUCUAUUCGUUGCAGCAAUCAUGAAAUUUCUAUCGUUGAUGAUCUGUUUGUCUGUAAUGUUUCUAAACAUUGAACAAGUUGUUAUGGACUCAGAUGUUGCCAAUGUUAACCAUUUACGAGAAGUGAAAACAAGAUUAUCUCCCUUGACUAGGGAAUUUCUACAAAGAAGCAACUAUGCUGGUUGGAGCUCUAGGAAACGUGGAGUAUGAUUGUAAGCAGAAAGAAAAUCAUUUGUGAUAAUUAAACUUUGAUUUGGAAUAAAUGUAAACUGUGUAUUGAGAUGUAU